UGGGGAAUUUUGGACAAUGGGCGAAAGCCUGAUCCAGCAAUGCCGCGUGUGUGAAGAAGGCCUUCGGGUUGUAAAGCACUUUUGUUCGGAAAGAAAUGUCUCUGGUUAAUACCUGGGGUCGAUGACGGUACCGGAAGAAUAAGGACCGGCUAACUACGUGCCAGCAGCCGCGGUAAUACGUAGGGUCCAGGCGUUACUCGGAAUUACUGGGCGUAGAGCGUGCGCAGGCGGUUGUGCAAGACCGAUGUGAAAUCCCCGGGCUUAACUUGGGAAUUGCAUUGGUGACUGCACGGCUAGAGUGUGGCAGAGGGGGGUAGAAGUCCACGUGUGGGAGUGAAAUGCGUAGAGAUGUGGAGGAAUACCGAUGGCGGAGGCAGCCCCCUGGGAUAACACUGACGCUCAUGCACGAAGGCGUGGGGAGCAAACAGG
rnacentral:rRNA from 1 species